ACCGCCUGACUCCCAGCCAUUUCAUUCUAACCCUAACCUUUGUGAGGUGUAGGUGCCAUGCUUUUGUUCCCCGUGUGUUGUUUUUCUCGCUGACUUUCAGCGCACGGAAAAGCCAUGCCCUAUUGCCGCUCAUUGUGGAUAUCCGUUUAACAAACAAAAAAAUGUCAGCUGCUGGCUCGCCUGCCCUUUCCAGGAGCCUGUGGUAGCUGCUCACCCGGCCGGGCACCCCGCUUAAGGCCGCGGAGGCGCCCAUCGCCACCGCAACGAGUUCGCCUCUGUCAGCCGUGGGGCCCCGGGGCUGAUGGUGUAUGGCUGGCUACAGGCAGAGAAACUGAGCCCACACCCAUGUGGUGCUUCCCUGAGCUGUGGGACUUGCACCCAGGGCUGGCUCAGACAUUU
ensembl:misc_RNA Telomerase-vert Vertebrate telomerase RNA